rnacentral:rRNA from 1 species
GACGAACGCUGGCGGCGUGGAUUAGGCAUGCAAGUCGAACGGUAUCAUCCUUUCGGGGGUGAGAGAGUGGCGAACUGGUGAGUAACACGUAGGUUAUCUACCCUCAAGACGGGGACAACCCAGGGAAACUUGGGCUAAUACCGGAUGUGAGCAACUUUUAGUUGUUUGAAAGGUGGCGUAAGCUGUCGCUUGGGGAUGAGCCUGCGUCCUAUUAGUUAGUUGGUGAGGUAACGGCUCACCUAGGCAAUGAUAGGUAGGCGGCCUUAACGGGUGGUCGCCCACACUGGGAUUGAGAUACGGCCCAGACUCCUACGGGAGGCAGCAGUCGAGAAUAGUCUACAAUGGUCGGAAGACUGAUAGUGCGACGCCGCGUGAACGAUGAAUCCCUUCGGGGUGUAAAGUUCUUUUAUAUGUGAGCAGUGCUUCUUAUAUUAACAGUAUGGGGAGAGAGAUAUUAGCAUAUGAAUAAGCAACGGCUAAACUCCGUGCCAGCAGCCGCGGUAAUACG